GACGAACGCUGGCGGCGUGCUUAACACAUGCAAGUCGAACGGAAAGGCCCUGCUUUUGUGGGGUGCUCGAGUGGCGAACGGGUGAGUAACACGUGAGUAGCCUGCCCUUGACUUUGGGAUAACUUCAGGAAACUGGGGCUAAUACCGGAUAGGAGCUCCUGCUGCAUGGUGGGGGUUGGAAAGUUUCGGCGGUUGGGGAUGGACUCGCGGCUUAUCAGCUUGUUGGUGGGGUAGUGGCUUACCAAGGCUUUGACAGGUAGCCGGCCUGAGAGGGUGACCGGCCACAUUGGGACUGAGAUACGGCCCAGACUCCUACGGGAGGCAGCAGUGGGGAAUAUUGCACAAUGGGCGGAAGCCUGAUGCAGCAACGCCGCGUGCGGGAUGACGGCCUUCGGGUUGUAAACCGCUUUCGCCUGUGACGAAGCGUGAGUGACGGUAAUGGGUAAAGAAGCACCGGCUAACUACGUG
rnacentral:rRNA from 1 species